GAUGAACGCUGGCUACAGGCUUAACACAUGCAAGUCGAGGGGAAACGACGGGGAAGCUUGCUUCCCCGGGCGUCGACCGGCGCACGGGUGAGUAACGCGUAUCCAACCUGCCUCUGACUGAGGGAUAACCCGUCGAAAGUCGGCCUAAUACCUCAUGGUAUCGUCUGCGGGCAUCCAACGACGAUUAAAGAUUUCCUCGGUCAGGGAUGGGGAUGCGUCUGAUUAGCUUGUUGGCGGGGUAACGGCCCACCAAGGCUACGAUCAGUAGGGGUGCUGAGAGGAAGGUCCCCCACAUUGGAACUGAGACACGGUCCAAACGCCUACGGGAGGCAGCAGUGAGGAAUAUGGGUCAAUGGGCGAGAGCCUGAACCAGCCAAGUAGCGUGCAGGAAGACGGCCCUAGGGGUUGUAAACUGCUUUUAGGCGGGGAUAAAGUGAGGGACGUGUCCCUCAUUGCAGGUACCGCAUGAAUAAGGACCGGCUAAUUCCGUG
rnacentral:rRNA from 1 species